rnacentral:rRNA from 1 species
AGUGAACGCUGGCGGUAGGCCUAACGCAUGCAAGUCGAACGGCAGCACAGUAAGAGCUUGCUCUUACGGGUGGCGAGUGGCGGACGGGUGAGGAAUACAUCGGAAUCUACUUUUUCGUGGGGGAUAACGUAGGGAAACUUACGCUAAUACCGCAUACGACCUACGGGUGAAAGCAGGGGAUCUUCGGACCUUGCGCGAUUGAAUGAGCCGAUGUCGGAUUAGCUAGUUGGCGGGGUAAAGGCCCACCAAGGCGACGAUCCGUAGCUGGUCUGAGAGGAUGAUCAGCCACACUGGAACUGAGACACGGUCCAGACUCCUACGGGAGGCAGCAGUGGGGAAUAUUGGACAAUGGGCGCAAGCCUGAUCCAGCCAUACCGCGUGGGUGAAGAAGGCCUUCGGGUUGUAAAGCCCUUUUGUUGGGAAAGAAAAGCAGCGGGUUAAUACCCCGCUGUUCUGACGGUACCCAAAGAAUAAGCACCGGCUAACUUCGUG